rnacentral:rRNA from 1 species
AUUGAACGCUGGCGGCAGGCCUAACACAUGCAAGUCGAGCGGAUGAAGGGAGCUUGCUCCUGGAUUCAGCGGCGGACGGGUGAGUAAUGCCUAGGAAUCUGCCUGGUAGUGGGGGAUAACGUCCGGAAACGGGCGCUAAUACCGCAUACGUCCUGAGGGAGAAAGUGGGGGAUCUUCGGACCUCACGCUAUCAGAUGAGCCUAGGUCGGAUUAGCUAGUUGGUGGGGUAAAGGCCUACCAAGGCGACGAUCCGUAACUGGUCUGAGAGGAUGAUCAGUCACCCGGGAAUGGGACCCGGUCCCAGCUCCUUACGGGAGGCAGCGGUGGGUACUUUUGGCCAUUGGGCGAAAGCCUGUUCCAGCCAGGCCGCUGGUGUGAAGAAGUCCUUCGGUUGGUAAAGCCCUUUAGGUUGGAGGAAAGGGCAUUAAUUUAAUACCUUGCUGUUUUGCCGUUACCAACAGAAUAAGCACCGGCUACCUUCGU